AUGAACGCUGGCGGCGUGCCUAAUACAUGCAAGUCGAGCGAACAGACGAGGAGCUUGCUCCUCUGACGUUAGCGGCGGACGGGUGAGUAACACGUGGAUAACCUACCUAUAAGACUGGGAUAACUUCGGGAAACCGGAGCUAAUACCGGAUAAUAUAUUGAACCGCAUGGUUCAAUAGUGAAAGACGGUUUUGCUGUCACUUAUAGAUGGAUCCGCGCCGCAUUAGCUAGUUGGUAAGGUAACAGCUUACCAAGGCAAGGAUGCGUAGCCGACCUGAGAGGGUGAUCGGCAACACUGGAACUGAGACACGGUCCAGACUCCUACGGGAGGCAGCAGUAGGGAAUCUUCCGCAAUGGGCGAAAGCCUGACGGAGCAACGCCGCGUGAGUGAUGAAGGUCUUCGGAGCGUAAAACUCUGUUAUUAGGGAAGAACAAAUGUGUAAGUAACUAUGCACGUCUUGACGGUACCUAAUCAGAAAGCCACGGCUAACUACGUG
rnacentral:rRNA from 1 species